GUGAGACAUAAUUAUUGGGGUGUUGUGUUACCCAGUUUUGAUUAUUGGGGGGGUUUAGUCAAAUGGAGUGAGGCUGACCCGGGGUGAGACUGGAUCAGAGUGAACAGAAUCUGAAGGGAACCAGAGCCAAACCUGAAACCCGACGCUGACACCAGUUUCAGUCAGAACGAAGUACACAUUUCAUUAAAAAGUGGUGGCCAUGCUUGAGGAUCGGCCAUUCAGUAAUCUAGCUGAGACCCAGAUUGAUUUAUCUGUGCUAGACUCCCCUGACUUAAAUGGUACAUAUUAUAUAUGCAAAGAGUGAUAUGGAUUGAACUUCUUUCAACUGCUAUGCAACUUAUCUGUUUAUGUUAAUAAUAAGCUUAUUAUGUCUUCCAAGUAAGCAAGCUAGUAUAGGGGCUCACUGUGUUUUCGUCAUUACUUUGUGUACUGAGGAUACUCACUAAGUUUGAGGAAUAGAUUUGAGUAAUAUUUAAGUAAAGGCACAGCUGACGUCAUAUGUCACGUCUCCAGGGUAGCAUAAAGAUCAAGUAAAGCGGACUUUGGUAUUUUCUUCACCUAAUGUGACCAAGAUCUCUGUGACUAAAUCUGGAAUCUAGUGAAUUAGAAGGCAUCUACAACGCACCCAACGAUCUCUAAACUAUCAGUAAAAUAUUUUAUUGCAAUUUCAUACAAUAUGAAAAUACAUAGGCCUAUAUGACAUGAACUUGAAUAGGAUCACAUUUUCAUUUUUGAUAUCUUAUUUACUUAAAUUUCCAACGUAAGACAGACUGUAUUCAAUAACUAUUAUUUGCACAAAAAGAAAUAUGUUUGAAACGUAACAGCCUAUUUACACCCAGAUAACCCUGGAAGGCAGUGGGUCGCUGACGUAUAAUUGUCACGAUGUUAAGCUGUUUCAGUACGAUUAGACACUGCAGCCUUAAAGCAGUUAAACGUUUACAAAGAGUUGCAUGAAACCAGUACGUGACGAGCGUGUGACAUUCGCAACUCAUUAACUCCGUCGUCAUAACACCUUAUUUCUUGCGAUCUGCUUUUUUCUAAGUAAGUGAGAUCAUUGCUAAGCUACUCGGAUUUUAAAGUUUUCCGUGAGAGCUGCACCUCAAGCGGCUAAACGCUGCUCGGGUGUUUGUGUCACUUUCGAGUUGGUCCCCGGUCACCUCCGACGGGGACAGAAAGUUAACGGGAAACAUUUUUCAUUUCUGAGAUCCUGUUUACCCAAACUAAUUUGUUCCUUCUUGCAAAUAUCAGAACAUCUGAACAGUGAAUUUUCAUAGACACCCCUUUUUUUCUACGCUGCGUUUCCUGUAUUGCUCCUACAAUUUCGUUUUCUUUGUUUAUUUGUUUAUUUAGAAAACAGCAGCCAUAAGGUCCACAUCAGAGAUCCUCGUCUCAUGAUGAUAUCGAUUGCAAAAUUGAACGCAUAAUUACGGGCAGUUAGAACAAUUAUCUUUGUUUUCUGGAUUCAGAAAUGAUAGUUUUAUUUCUGGCAGUAAACUCCACGUUGGUGAAGGUCUGAAUUUUGCUUUUGUUACACCCAACUGAGGCCAUACGGGUUCUGGGUGGCACAACGGUGUCCAACACUGCCAGAAACGCGAGGGAGGGCGCAAAGAAGAUGUUUAAGAAAGCGGAGAGGAGAAAAGACUCUGUUCGGCUGAAGGCUGAGUCAUUGGGCAAGGUUACCGAAGAAAGAGGGCAGUGCACUUUUACAGAGAACCAGGAGGCCCCGUGACGAACUGCUGAAGAAGCAAAUGAUCCUGUACGCAGCUCUAAAACAGAAUGACGUUACAGGCAUUUACAGGCAACACAUUAACUGACCUGAGAUGGUGUUGUUUUAAAGGGGUAUUUCUCUGACAUGUGAAUACCUUGCAAUCACAACCCAUCAUCUGGGUACCCCCCUCCCCCCUCAAAUAUGGCCAAAUCAUAUUAAACAAAAGUUUAACUUCAAAAACAUUUGGUUUCCCACCUAUGCACAGCACAAACAACUGCAGCAACAACACCUGUUGAAUUUCAACAAACCUGCAGAGUUUGAACAUGGCAAAUAAUUUGGCCAUAUUUAUUUGCAUUUAGAAAUGGUCCAUGGAAGUAAGUAUGUAUUAAGUAUUUGUUCUGCAAUGUAAUGAUGUUUCUG